rnacentral:rRNA from 1 species
AGCGAACGCUGGCGGCAGGCCUAACACAUGCAAGUCGAGCGGGCACCUUCGGGUGUCAGCGGCAGACGGGUGAGUAACACGUGGGAACGUGCCUUUCGGUUCGGAACAACCCAGGGAAACUUGGGCUAAUACCGGAUAUGCCCUUCGGGGGAAAGAUUUAUCGCCGAAAGAUCGGCCCGCGUCUGAUUAGCUAGUUGGUGGGGUAAUGGCCCACCAAGGCGACGAUCAGUAGCUGGUCUGAGAGGAUGAUCAGCCACACUGGGACUGAGACACGGCC